rnacentral:lncRNA from 1 species
GUUGACUCCUUGCCAAGGAAAGGUAGCCAUCGUAUCUAUCCAAAUGAAGACAUUAGAUUGAAUGAAUCCAUAUCUCAAAGGAUCUAUAGAUUUGAAGUAAUAUUUGCUCCUUCUGUACUUUAAUGAAUACUUGGAUACUAUAUCAUCUAAAUCUGCUAGAAUCCUUUGUUCUUGGUGACCACCAAGUGGAUAUUUGUCAAUUGUUUGAAAAUACUUUUCAUCACCAGACUUCGGUAGAAACACCAUAGAUGGCACAUGGUGGGACUUUGUAUUCAAAUAACAAGAACCAGGAUGAGGAUGAAGUGCAACAACCUCAAAAAUCCAGGCUGUCCUUAGAUAUUCUUUUAGCAUAAAUACAAAUAAAAGAAAACUGCCUAAUCA